AUUGGACGCUGGCGGCAGGCUUAACACAUGCAAGUCGAGCGAGCGGCGGACGGGUGAGUAAUGUCUGGGAAACUGCCUGAUGGAGGGGGAUAACUACUGGAAACGGUAGCUAAUACCGCAUACCAUCAGAUGUGCCCAGAGGGGAUUAGCUAGUAGGUGGGGUAAUGUCUCACCUAGGCGACGAUCCAGAGCUGGUCGGAGAGGAUGACCAGCAACACUGGAAGUGCGACACGGACCAGAAUCCUACGGGAGGCAGCCGUGGGGAAUAUUGCACAAUGGGCGCAAGCCUGAUGCAUCCAUGCCGCGUGUGUGAAGAAGGCCUGCGGGUUGUAAAGCACUUUCAGCGAGGAGGCGUUACUCGCAGAAGAAGCACCAGCUAACUCCGUGCCAGCAGCCGCGGUAAUUC
rnacentral:rRNA from 1 species